CAAGAAAGCCGCGUCAGGAGUGAGGGGAGCCGAAAGUGAGCCACAGGCUGAUCAUCCACUGUGCGAGAGAUGGCAACUGUCGAGACUAGCGGAGAUGAACGGGGUGAAGUAAAGAAGUGACGCAGCAGGGAAAUGGAUACAGCGAGGAAGCUGAUCAGACAGCAGAGGAAGGCAAAACACGUUGUGUUUGAUUUGAUGAAUAUGCAAUAAAGCUCCUUGUUGCUGAAUAAACCUGAAAGGUGGGACAAACAGGACAGCAAUUACACAAGAGAAUACAAAAACACCUGUCGACAAUUGCACUAGCAAGGCGUGACAAAGAUCAAGAGAAGACACUAACUUCAGUUGCAGGACAUUUCCUAGAAUACCA